rnacentral:rRNA from 1 species
GACGAACGCUGGCGGCGUGCUUAACACAUGCAAGUCGAACGAUGAAGCCGGAGCUUGCUCUGGUGAAUUAGUGGCGAACGGGUGAGUAACACGUGAGUAACCUGCCCUUGACUCUGGGAUAACUGCUGGAAAUGGUAGCUAAUACCGGAUACGACCCUCGGAGGCAUCUCCAGGGGGUGGAAAGAAUUUCGGUCAGGGAUGGACUCGCGGCCUAUCAGCUAGUUGGUGAGGUAACGGCUCACCAAGGCGACGACGGGUAGCCGGCCUGAGAGGGUGACCGGCCACACUGGGACUGAGACACGGCCCAGACUCCUACGGGAGGCAGCAGUGGGGAAUAUUGCACAAUGGGCGCAAGCCUGAUGCAGCAACGCCGCGUGAGGGAUGACGGCCUUCGGGUUGUAAACCUCUUUUAGUAGGGAAGAAGCGAAAGUGACGGUACCUGCAGAAAAAGCACCGGCUAACUACGUGCCAGCAGCCGCAGUAA